ACACAUCGGGAACGUAGCCUGUCGUGGGGGGAUAGCCCCGGCGAAAGCCCGGAUUAAUUCCGCAUACGACCUGAGGGUGAAAGCGGGGGGAUUCUUGGGCAACCGAGGACCUCGCGCGAUAGGAGCGGCCGAUGGCGGAUUAGCUAGUUGGUGGGGUAAAGGCCUACCAAGGCGACGAUCCGUAGCGGGUCUGAGAGGACGGCCCGCCACACUGGAACUGAGACACGGUCCAGACUCCUACGGGAGGCAGCAGUGGGGAAUUUUGGACAAUGGGGGCAACCCUGAUCCAGCCAUUCCGCGUGAGUGAAGAAGGCCUUCGGGUUGUAAAGCUCUUUCGGCAGGAACGAAACGGUGGAGGCUAAUACCUUUCAUCAAUGACGGUACCUGAAGAAGAAGCACCGGCUAACUACGUGCCAGCAGCCGCGGUAAUACGUAGGGUGCGAGCGUUAAUCGGAAUUACUGGGCGUAAAGCGUGCGCAGGCGGCUCACUAAGACAGAUGUGAAAUCCCCGGGCUUAACCUGGGAACUGCGUUUGUGACUGGUGGGCUGGAGUGUGGCAGAGGGGGGUGGAAUUCCACGUGUAGCAGUGAAAUGCGUAGAGAUGUGGAGGAACACCGAUGGCGAAGGCAGCCCCCUGGGUUGACACUGACGCUCAUGCACGAAAGCGUGGGGAGCAAACAGGAUUAGAUACCCUGGUAGUCCACGCCCUAAACGAUGCCAACUAGGUGUUGGAGAAGGAGACUUCUUUAGUACCGUAGCUAACGCGUGAAGUGGCCGCGUGGGA
rnacentral:rRNA from 1 species